AUGAGACCUGAGGCAAGCUCAAGGCUUCCCUGGGAUUUCUUGCUUUAUCGAUCAGAUGAGUUCCAUAAUAUCUGCCCUUUCAUCGUAAAGGAUGGGCCCUUCAUUCUUCCCCAGGGUUCCCCGAGGAACUACCAUAUGAAGGAGGCAAAAAAAUUCAUCUCCUGUGUUAUAUCCAGUUCCCUAGGAGUGGCUGCGCGUUGUUGUGGCUGCACAGUGUUGAGAGGGAUUCUGAAGCUGUAUACUGAUUGACUAAGGAUGUCUGUCACAAGCUUUGAAAGGGAGAUGAUGAUACAUCACGUCUCGAGCUAGAAGCAUCUUAGAUGAGAUGUCACACCCUGAGAGGAGCCUUCCCGGGCCACCUAAAGCAGCACAACACAACCCUCCUGUCACUGACUACCACUUCUCCGGCACCUCACUGACUAUAAGCCCCAUGAAGGCAAGACUGCGUCUCUUUGGCGCACCACGUCCUCCUUGCUCUUCGCAGAAAGUGCGUGCUCAUCAAGCAAGUUUUGAAUGCAUGACUAAAGCAUCGGGGCAUUGCCAUCCCGGGACUCCAUGCCUGGCACCACGCAAGCACAGAAGAUAUGAUGCCACCUGGCAGAGACCGACAUUCAGAUAAAGAGAUGAGACCUGCUCAGAAGAAGGCGUAAAACUUGAACCCAAUGAAGGAAGCGAAGUGUUAUGAGACUACACGAAAACAAAAAACUUUAAAAAA
rnacentral:lncRNA from 1 species